UCUCUGUCUCUCUCAGUCUCUCUCUCCGUUUGCAGAUCUAAGACAGCAGAGCGAUGAGAGAUUGCAGCUGAGAUUUCAUCAUCGGACGGCGUUCUUGCUAUCCAAACCUCAUUUCCAUCUAAGGUUUUUGACCAAAGGUGGUAUGAUGAUUUUAGCGACAUGGUUGAACAAAGCAGCUCUUGAAGAACAAACAACUGUUAUUCUUAUCAUUUUUAAGGGAGAUUUGGCAAAUUACCUUCAAAAGAAAGGACGGCUACAGCCUUCUAAAGCUCUGAGAUUCUCUCUUGAUAUUGCUAGGUCAAGUAUGGUUACCUGAUUUGGCAAUUCUGCUUCUAUCCUUGUGCUUCCCUAUUGGAAUGUAACUCUUUAGAGAUGGAAACCUCUCAUUACAAAUAUCAUGUGGAUGAACUUACCUUGUUCAGGCAAGUAUCUAUUUUCUCUUAUGCAAUGUGUUUCUAAAAUUUAUCAUCAUCACUAGAAAAAGGUAAUUUUUGCCAUUGUCUAAUCUUUUAUUUUCCCUUGAACAGCUUUUACCCUGCUUUCAGAGCUUGGUAGUUUCAAGUUAAAAUCCAUUCAUUACACUAGUAAUCGUAAUUAAAUUUGAUCGAAACAUGCCCUUAAAUUGUCUUUUAAGAUGUCAUGUUGCAAUAACAAUGUACUCAAAAUAAUGGAUUUCAUGACGAGCGGUCCAGAUGAUGGUUCUAAUGCAUAUGUGAUCAUAACAAAAACAAGUACGACAACUCAUUAGGUGGGCCACUCAUUUAUGAAAAAAAUAAAAACUGAUUUAGAAUUAAAUAGAAAUUGGUCACAUACCCAGCUUGUCUGCAGUUUCUUCUGGUCAAUCACUAUCUUUGGAGUGUUCAGAUUCUUAGAAGGAUGUCAAAUAAUGCUAAGUCCAUGGAAAUUUUACAAAGUAAUUUUUAGAGCUUUACGAUAUCUGUAUCUUUUGCCUAGCUGAAUGCUAACCACCCUUGUUUGUUUUAGUCUCAUUGAUUUCUUUUCCAUUUACUUUUCUUUUCUCAUUAACCCUUGUGCAGAUAAGUUGAAUGUGUAACUAUCUUCGCCUUGUUAUGUUUCAAGGUGAUUUUCACUGCCAACUUUGUUUGUUGACUUGGUUUGGCAUGAUUUGUGAAAUUAGAU